rnacentral:rRNA from 1 species
ACGGCCGCAAGGUUAAAACUCAAAUGAAUUGACGGGGGCCCGCACAAGCGGUGGAGCAUGUGGUUUAAUUCGAUGCAACGCGAAGAACCUUACCUGGUCUUGACAUCCACGGAAGUUUUCAGAGAUGAGAAUGUGCCUUCGGGAACCGUGAGACAGGUGCUGCAUGGCUGUCGUCAGCUCGUGUUGUGAAAUGUUGGGUUAAGUCCCGCAACGAGCGCAACCCUUAUCCUUUGUUGCCAGCGGUCCGGCCGGGAACUCAAAGGAGACUGCCAGUGAUAAACUGGAGGAAGGUGGGGAUGACGUCAAGUCAUCAUGGCCCUUACGACCAGGGCUACACACGUGCUACAAUGGCGCAUACAAAGAGAAGCGACCUCGCGAGAGCAAGCGGACCUCAUAAAGUGCGUCGUAGUCCGGAUUGGAGUCUGCAACUCGACUCCAUGAAGUCGGAAUCGCUAGUAAUCGUGGAUCAGAAUGCCACGGUGAAUACGUUCCCGGGCCUUGUACACACCGCCCGUCACACCA